GUCCACGCCGUAACGAUGAGUGCUAAGUGUUGGAGGCUUCCACCUUCAGUGCUGCAGUUAACGCAUUAAGCACUCCGCCUGGGAGUACGGCCGCAAGGCUGAACUCAAGGAAUUGACGGGACCCGCACAAGCGUGGAGCAUGUGGUUAAUUCGAAGCAACGCGAAGAACCUUACCAGGUCUUGACAUCCCUUGACACUCCUAGAGAUAGGACGUUCCCUUCGGGACAAGGUGACAGGUGGUGCAUGGUUGUCGU
rnacentral:rRNA from 1 species